CUAAUGACAGUAUUAUUUGAGAUUUGAUACUAUGAAACAGAUAAUGAGGACACCUGAAAACUGCUGUCUAGAAGAUGCACUUCAUGUUAUUUGCUCUGCAGAAGAAAUUUCUUGUGCGGAUAUUCUCAUUAACUGUUUUAGUGUCUAAUGCAAAUAUCACCCUUGUUAGCCCCCUUGAGCCUUUAAAUCCCCUUUUUAUUCUAUUAGCCACACUACUAGCCUUAAGCUGAAAAACAAAUAAAAAUCCCAAGUUGAAUCCUUGGUUAGCUUAAGAUAGAAAAUUAUGAAUAGUUUAAAUGUGGGAAACCCAUUGGGAACAUGGAUGAUAAAAACAAAAGGUAGAAAAGUUGAAAAGAAUAAAGCAACUCAAAAUAGGAAAUUUUGGGAAGCAUGUUCGUAAAAAAUCAAAUUAAUUAAAUUACCAUGUGCAUUUAAAAAAAAAAAGUUAUUUUUCAGUAUUUAAUAAAGGGAAUACAAAAGAAUUCCCCAAACGCAAAAUAAAAGCAAUGCACAUGGGAUAAAAAUAAAAAUUGAAACAUGAGCAUGUAACAUCCAAAAGUGGGAAAAAUAUGGGAAAAUAGGUAAAAAAGUUUUGUGUUACUAAGUAUGUAUGUUAGGUGAGAUCUUAGUCUAAUUAAGGAUUCACUUAUUAGCUCACUUAGCCUUAUACAGAUAUCCUUACCUUUACCUUGGCCCCAUUACAACCUUAAUUAAAGACCUCAUGAUUUUUGGUAUGACUGUAUUCUAUAAUUAUUGAUUGGUUAGAUGAAGAAUAAAGUUAUAGAAAAGAAGAAUAAAAAGAGGAAUAGAGUGAUUAACCCAAUAAACACUGAGUGACUAGAGAGUAAACACAAAUCCAGUGAGGGCUCAAUAGCUCAUUAACAUUUAUCUCUGUUUGAAUUAUCUAAUUGUCUUGCAAGUUCAUAAAAUACUUUUUCUCCCAUCUCAAUUGUAAAAGUGCUUAUUGAUUAUCUAAGGCUUGGCUAUAUAUACAUAUAUGACUCCUUGAGAAUGUGAAUUAAUUUAACUACCUGUAAGCUUUAUAUAUGAGUGAAUAAAUUAGAAUUGCAUGUUACAUUUAGGUAGUUGCAUUUAAGAUUAGAUUGCAUUGCAUAACAUUCCAUCACUUUAACCUUACUUAUUACCUUGGAUUUAGUAUGAGGACAUGCUAUUGUUUAAGUGUGGGGAGGUUGAUAAACCCAUAUUUUAUGAUAUACUUUGUGCUUAAUUUGAGUGAUUUAUUCAAUCCUUCACCCACUUAUUCAUAUUAAUUGCAUGGUUUUACUUCUCCUUCCUUAUUAUGUCACUACAAGAAAAAAGGCUUAUGGCCACGCUUUUAUGAGGGUGGCGAUUGAAUAGAGAUUUGGCCACAUUUUUUUUGCUACGCUUCAAAAGCGUAGCGAAAAGGGUCAAUGGCCACGCUUUUAUGAGAGUGGCAAUUGAUGCGAGAUUUGGCCACAUUUUUUUUUGCUACGCUUAAAAAGCGUAGCCGUAGAGAGAAACCGGCAUGCUUUUAAAGCGUAGCAACAGGGUUUUAUUUUGUAGCGUUUAUAAAGCGUAGCCGUUUCCUACAAGCCUUUUGGCACGCUUCAAAAGCGUGGCCAAAAGGUGCCCAAAAAAAAAAUUUAAGAAGCUCGUACACCCUUCUGAGUUAUAAGUUCAAAUUAAAAAACCACCUUCUUCCUUCAAAGAAAGACCUAACCCUUCAAAAGCCCCAACGCGACGAUGCCACUCCGUUAUGCCUCGCCGUAAACCUAACCCUUCUUCAUUGUGCCUCGCCCUCACCGCGACGACGACACUCCGACGACAUUCGGACGACACUCCGUGCAGAACGUCGCUGUGCUCGCAAUCCCUAACCCUCAUUCUGCGGUGACUCCCUCCGCUCACUUGCCGUCGCAAACCCGCCGUCGAUGCUCCCUCCGCCGCCGCUCCCUUCCGUCGCUGCAAACCCUAACCCCUCAAGCCAGCAGGUAGCAGCGUCUUCAUCCCCUGCGCCAUCGCGUCAAGCCCCUUCGCCCUCCAUCGUCGAGGCCCGUCCAGCCGUCGUCAUCCAGCGCCUCUCACUUUCUGGCAGCCACCACGUCUUCCUCCACUCCUCCCUGCACUCUGCCACUCUCUGUCUGCAUCAUCAAGAAUGGAGCCUCUAACUCAGGUUGGUUCUUGAUUUUUUGUUCUCUGAUUUCUCACUGCUUCUAUUUGUUUUUCUGUUCUGUUCUUGAGUUAAUUCUGGUCUUUUCAAAUUACUUAAGAAUAAUUCACAUAUUCUUCUAUAUCCUGGUGGUCAACGCGAGGCUCUGCAUUAUAAGGUGCAUCAAGUUUCCAAAAUUGUACUCUCAAAGAAUCCAUGAGUUGAUGUGCAUACAGUAGUUAAAUAUUUCUGUACUUUUGUGACAUCAAAACAUGCUUGUCAAAAUUUGAGGGCAGCUCUGAUUGUGUUCCCAUUUGUUGUUUAGGGGGAAGAGUACAAGGUAAUUUGGCCGGAUCAUCCAGAGUUUGUGCGUAUGGCGGCGCGAUUUGGCACUACAAUCGUGCCAUUUGGUACUGUGGGCGAAGAUGAUAUAGCUGAUGUAGGUUUCUUCUUUUUUCUAUAAUGAUUUCUUUACUCCCUUUUUUUAGUAUUUAUUUUUUGAUUAAUGUUGCUAUACUCAAUACUACUUAAGCCUUGGAGGGAUUUUUGGCUUUCAUAAUCACUAAAACAACAUUUAUAAACACUUUAAGAAUGUGAUCAACACAAAAUAAAUUACAGUAAUUUGAGAAUCAGCCUAGUUAGCCAGUGCAAUUUGAGGAGAACUUCACUAUCUUCAGCUCUUUUUUAACUAUUUGUUUUUCAUAAGAAAAUAUCAGCUAUAUAUCCUUUCUUUUUACUUGCAAACCUAGAACAUGAUGAAUUAAUUGUGCUCACAUCUUGAUUUUACAGAUACUUCUUGACUUCAAUGACUUAGCGAAGAUCCCUUAUUUCAUAGAGUAUGUCAGAGAAUUGCAGCGAGGCUUGGUAAAGUUCAAGUAAUUGCUUUUCAUCUUAAAAUUCAGGCUGCUUGAUUGUUUUGUAAAUAUCACAUGAUUGAAUAUGUAUAUUUAAUAUAGUUAAUAUGUCAAAGUUGUGGAGUUGUUAAUAACAAUCAAACAAUUUUCAGAGAUGAGAUAAGUGGUGAGGUAGCAAGCAGAGAUAUAGCUCCACCAUUGAUUCUUCCAAAAUUGCCUGGAAGAUUCUACUAUCUAUUUGGGAAGCCAAUAAGCACAAAAGGGAUGGAGAACAUGCUUAAAGACAGAGAAGCUGCCAACAAACUAUGAAACAGAUAAUGAGGACACCUGAAAACUGCUGUCUAGAAGAUGCACUUCAUGUUAUUUGCUCUGCAGAAGAAAUUUCUUGUGCGGAUAUUCUCAUUAACUGUUUUAGUGUCUAAUGCAAAUUUGUUUCUUCAUUAAGUAUUGAUAUAGUGUUGUACCUGUAAAAUGA
rnacentral:lncRNA from 1 species